GGCCCAGAUCGUUACCGUGAAAAAAUUAGAGUGUUCAAAGCGGGCAGAUAUUUUUCCUGCCACCGAAUACAUUAGCAUGGGAUAAUGGAAUAGGACCCUGACCUCCUAUUUUCAGUUGGUUUUGUUUACAGCGAGGUUAUAUCAGGGUAAUGAUUAAUAGGGAUAGUUGGGGGCAUUA
rnacentral:rRNA from 1 species